UUAAGCGACUAAGCGUACACGGUGGAUGCCCUGGCAGUCAGAGGCGAUGAAGGACGUGCUAAUCUGCGAUAAGCGUCGGUAAGGUGAUAUGAACCGUUAUAACCGGCGAUUUCCGAAUGGGGAAACCCAGUGUGUUUCGACACACUAUCAUUAACUGAAUCCAUAGGUUAAUGAGGCGAACCGGGGGAACUGAAACAUCUAAGUACCCCGAGGAAAAGAAAUCAACCGAGAUUCCCCCAGUAGCGGCGAGCGAACGGGGAGCAGCCCAGAGCCUGAAUCAGUGUGUGUGUUAGUGGAAGCGUCUGGAAAGGCGCGCGAUACAGGGUGACAGCCCCGUACACAAAAAUGCACAUGCUGUGAGCUCGAUGAGUAGGGCGGGACACGUGGUAUCCUGUCUGAAUAUGGGGGGACCAUCCUCCAAGGCUAAAUACUCCUGACUGACCGAUAGUGAACCAGUACCGUGAGGGAAAGGCGAAAAGAACCCCGGCGAGGGGAGUGAAAAAGAACCUGAAACCGUGUACGUACAAGCAGUGGGAGCACGCUUAGGCGUGUGACUGCGUACCUUUUGUAUAAUGGGUCAGCGACUUAUAUUCUGUAGCAAGGUUAACCGAAUAGGGGAGCCGAAGGGAAACCGAGUCUUAACUGGGCGUUAAGUUGCAGGGUAUAGACCCGAAACCCGGUGAUCUAGCCAUGGGCAGGUUGAAGGUUGGGUAACACUAACUGGAGGACCGAACCGACUAAUGUUGAAAAAUUAGCGGAUGACUUGUGGCUGGGGGUGAAAGGCCAAUCAAACCGGGAGAUAGCUGGUUCUCCCCGAAAGCUAUUUAGGUAGCGCCUCGUGAAUUCAUCUCCGGGGGUAGAGCACUGUUUCGGCAAGGGGGUCAUCCCGACUUACCAACCCGAUGCAAACUGCGAAUACCGGAGAAUGUUAUCACGGGAGACACACGGCGGGUGCUAACGUCCGUCGUGAAGAGGGAAACAACCCAGACCGCCAGCUAAGGUCCCAAAGUCAUGGUUAAGUGGGAAACGAUGUGGGAAGGCCCAGACAGCCAGGAUGUUGGCUUAGAAGCAGCCAUCAUUUAAAGAAAGCGUAAUAGCUCACUGGUCGAGUCGGCCUGCGCGGAAGAUGUAACGGGGCUAAACCAUGCACCGAAGCUGCGGCAGCGACACUAUGUGUUGUUGGGUAGGGGAGCGUUCUGUAAGCCUGUGAAGGUGUACUGUGAGGUAUGCUGGAGGUAUCAGAAGUGCGAAUGCUGACAUAAGUAACGAUAAAGCGGGUGAAAAGCCCGCUCGCCGGAAGACCAAGGGUUCCUGUCCAACGUUAAUCGGGGCAGGGUGAGUCGACCCCUAAGGCGAGGCCGAAAGGCGUAGUCGAUGGGAAACAGGUUAAUAUUCCUGUACUUGGUGUUACUGCGAAGGGGGGACGGAGAAGGCUAUGUUGGCCGGGCGACGGUUGUCCCGGUUUAAGCGUGUAGGCUGGUUUUCCAGGCAAAUCCGGAAAAUCAAGGCUGAGGCGUGAUGACGAGGCACUACGGUGCUGAAGCAACAAAUGCCCUGCUUCCAGGAAAAGCCUCUAAGCAUCAGGUAACAUCAAAUCGUACCCCAAACCGACACAGGUGGUCAGGUAGAGAAUACCAAGGCGCUUGAGAGAACUCGGGUGAAGGAACUAGGCAAAAUGGUGCCGUAACUUCGGGAGAAGGCACGCUGAUAUGUAGGUGAAGUCCCUCGCGGAUGGAGCUGAAAUCAGUCGAAGAUACCAGCUGGCUGCAACUGUUUAUUAAAAACACAGCACUGUGCAAACACGAAAGUGGACGUAUACGGUGUGACGCCUGCCCGGUGCCGGAAGGUUAAUUGAUGGGGUCAGCGCAAGCGAAGCUCUUGAUCGAAGCCCCGGUAAACGGCGGCCGUAACUAUAACGGUCCUAAGGUAGCGAAAUUCCUUGUCGGGUAAGUUCCGACCUGCACGAAUGGCGUAAUGAUGGCCAGGCUGUCUCCACCCGAGACUCAGUGAAAUUGAACUCGCUGUGAAGAUGCAGUGUACCCGCGGCAAGACGGAAAGACCCCGUGAACCUUUACUAUAGCUUGACACUGAACAUUGAGCCUUGAUGUGUAGGAUAGGUGGGAGGCUUUGAAGUGUGGACGCCAGUCUGCAUGGAGCCGACCUUGAAAUACCACCCUUUAAUGUUUGAUGUUCUAACGUGGACCCGUGAUCCGGGUUGCGGACAGUGUCUGGUGGGUAGUUUGACUGGGGCGGUCUCCUCCUAAAGAGUAACGGAGGAGCACGAAGGUUGGCUAAUCCUGGUCGGACAUCAGGAGGUUAGUGCAAUGGCAUAAGCCAGCUUGACUGCGAGCGUGACGGCGCGAGCAGGUGCGAAAGCAGGUCAUAGUGAUCCGGUGGUUCUGAAUGGAAGGGCCAUCGCUCAACGGAUAAAAGGUACUCCGGGGAUAACAGGCUGAUACCGCCCAAGAGUUCAUAUCGACGGCGGUGUUUGGCACCUCGAUGUCGGCUCAUCACAUCCUGGGGCUGAAGUAGGUCCCAAGGGUAUGGCUGUUCGCCAUUUAAAGUGGUACGCGAGCUGGGUUUAGAACGUCGUGAGACAGUUCGGUCCCUAUCUGCCGUGGGCGCUGGAGAACUGAGGGGGGCUGCUCCUAGUACGAGAGGACCGGAGUGGACGCAUCACUGGUGUUCGGGUUGUCAUGCCAAUGGCACUGCCCGGUAGCUAAAUGCGGAAGAGAUAAGUGCUGAAAGCAUCUAAGCACGAAACUUGCCCCGAGAUGAGUUCUCCCUGACCCUUUAAGGGUCCUGAAGGAACGUUGAAGACGACGACGUUGAUAGGCCGGGUGUGUAAGCGCAGCGAUGCGUUGAGCUAACCGGUACUAAUGAACCGUGAGGCUUAACCUU
rnacentral:rRNA from 1 species